CCGUCUCAGUCCACAGGUAGCUGGCUCCAAGGCAGGACGCUGGGGAAGAGGGAAAGGCAGAGGGGGUUUCUUGCGGCAUGGUGCCCGCGAAGCAGGGAGACAGGAGCUGCGGAGGAACCGCCUCUUCCGCCAGACCCCACCUACUACUGGCAAAUCAGCUAUGAGUUCCACAGUCGGAUCACCUGCUUACAACUACAUGAGACUUUGGGUGACAUCUGAUAGAAUCAUAACAACACAGGACUGUAUUAAUCAGCAGCCUUGAUUCAGUAGUGACAGAGAUCUCUGUGAAGGCUAAGUCUAAUUAUCAACUUCAUUGGAUGGAGAGCUGCCUAGCGAUGAGUGAAGCACACAUCAGGUAUGCCUGGGUGGGGCAUGGAGGUGUGACUGGGGUUUAUAUCCACUCCCUGGCCUCUCCCCAUCUGGCACCAUUCCCUUGCUCUGCUUCCUGGCCACCCUGAACAGAGCGGAUUUCCUCUGCCACGCCCUUCAUUAUGAUGCUCCUGCUCGGAAGCCACAAACAAUAGACUGAAUCCCCUGAGCCCCUCCUGAAAUUAUAAGGGUGCUGGGUAUUGUGUUUCUUGGACAAGAAAACUGACACCUACAUCCUCUCUCCUCCAAAAACCUAGGGUGAGGACAAGUUAGCCAUUAAUGGAUAAUCAAGGAGAGAAGUUUGUGGACCCUGAAAAAAAUCCAGUGAAAACAAGGAGAGAUCUAUUUCCAGAAAGAGUGGAACAGGAAUCUGAUCAAGCAGAGCCUUGUGGGGCAAGGACCCUCCCCCUCCAGAAAAGGGGGUGUUGUACAGUUGCUGAGCUGCCUGCCCAUAAAUCCUCUGGACAGAACUUGCAACACACCAGAUCUGACCGCCUGCUCUACCUGCAGUGAACAAAGGUCUCCCCAGCCAGCUUUUUUGACUUCUUGAGCUUGAAAAUGGAUUCUGAGAACAGUUUUCAAAGCCCUAGGAAUAAAUGCUGUGAAAAUGAAAAAAAAUGGGGAGGAGACCAUAAAGCUUCAAAGGGAAAAAAUUUUCUAAGACAUCUAGAUGAAGCCUUUGUAACAAGUCAGAUCGCAAUAUAAAAGUGAACUGCUG
rnacentral:lncRNA from 1 species